rnacentral:SRP_RNA from 1 species
GUCGGGUGCAGUGGCGCGCGCCUGUAAUCCAAGCUGCUGGGAGACUGAGGCUGGCGGAUCGCUUGAGUUCAGGGGUUCUGGGCUGCAGUGGACUAUGUUGAUCAGGUGUCCACACUAAGUUCGGUAUCGAUAUGGUGUUCCUGGGGGAGCUCGGGACCACCAGGUCGUUUAAGGAGGGGUGAACCGGCCCAGGUCGGAGACGGAGCAGGUCAAAGCCCCCGUGUCGAUCAGUAGUGGGAUCGCGCCUGUGAAUAGACACUGCAGUGCAGCCUGAGCGAUACAGCGAGACCCAGACUUUU